rnacentral:lncRNA from 1 species
GUUCAUUUGGCCGCACUAGUGUGGGACCCAGGGCCUCGCACGUGCUAGGUGAGCGCUGUACCCUGAGCCCCGGCCCCAGCCCACCCCGCCGCCCUCCUUUUACUUUCUAUUCUGAGACAGGCCUCACGACACACUCAGGGGCUUCUUUCCUGUGGGGUCGGUAGCGGUGUCUCCUUCUCAUUCCUGAGUGUGAGAACUGAGCUUCCGUCUUGUUCCUGGGCGUCCGCGGAAGGGUUGUUGACUCUGUUAAACUGUUGGAGGAAGACGUCUUUGGCUUCAUGGAUUCCCUCUAUUUUCUAUUCUCUGUUUUAUUAAUCUCUGCCCUGAUAUUUAUUUCCUUCUGCUAGCCUUGAAUUCGUGCUUUCUGAACUCUUUCCCCCCCAGGGCGAGGGUCAUCACUUGCCACAUGAAAAAUGAUUUAUCUGAACAAAUAAUCGGGGGACAUGCUGAAUUUGACCGUGCUGAAUAGUUUUAUCUUGUUUGUGUUUUCAGCUGUCUGGCUUUUGAGAGCCUCUGCUGUUUUCACAAUAUUGAGAGUUCCUCAGAGGCAGGUUCAAUGUGCAGGACUUUCAACAGUUCACUGAGGGACAGGGGCUGUGGCUCCGGCAGAGCACUCACCUGGCACGUGGGAG